rnacentral:rRNA from 1 species
GAUGAACGCUGGCGGCGUGCCUAAUACAUGCAAGUAGAACGCUGAAGCUUGGUGCUUGCACCGAGCGGAUGAGUUGCGAACGGGUGAGUAACGCGUAGGUAACCUGCCUCUUAGCGGGGGAUAACUAUUGGAAACGAUAGCUAAUACCGCAUAAAAGUCGAUAUCGCAUGAUAUUGAUUUGAAAGGUGCAAAUGCAUCACUAAGAGAUGGACCUGCGUUGUAUUAGCUAGUUGGUGAGGUAACGGCUCACCAAGGCGACGAUACAUAGCCGACCUGAGAGGGUGAUCGGCCACACUGGGACUGAGACACGGCCCAGACUCCUACGGGUGGCAGCAGUAGGGAAUCUUCGGCAAUGGGGGCAACCCUGACCGAGCAACGCCGCGUGAGUGAAGAAGGUUUUCGGAUCGUAAAGCUCUGUUGUAAGAGAAGAACGAGUGUGAGAGUGGAAAGUUCACACUGUGACGGUAACUUACCAGAAAGGGACGGCUAACUACGUG